UACGUAGGUGGCGAGCGUUGUCCGGAUUUACUGGGCGUAAAGGGAGCGUAGGCGGACUUUUAAGUGAGAUGUGAAAUACCCGGGCUUAACUUGGGUGCUGCAUUUCAAACUGGAAGUCUAGAGUGCAGGAGAGGAGAAUGGAAUUCCUAGUGUAGCGGUGAAAUGCGUAGAGAUUAGGAAGAACACCAGUGGCGAAGGCGAUUCUCUGGACUGUAACUGACGCUGAGGCUCGAAAGCGUGGGGAGCAAACAGGAUUAGAUACUCG
rnacentral:rRNA from 1 species